rnacentral:miRNA from 1 species
AAAUUUGCUGAGGACAAAAUAC